AAAAUGGAGGGAGCGGCGUGUGAUCGGCCAUUUUGUCGCAUCCUCUGGAGACCAGCUGAACAGGACAAGGGCUGAUCCUGAAAGGAAUGAGCGAGAGGUUCCGCCUUGACUGUAGUCAUGGCAAACCUCAAGAUUUGGCACUGCAUUGUGACCUUGCAGCAUGUACUGAGGAUGUCUGUCCUUCAGGAUGGCUGAGCAUAACAUGGACUGAUGUCAGAAGGAAUGAAUGCAUAUGAUGGGUCCGACUCUGAAGUGUGGGAGUGUAUGCCUGGUGACUGAAGGUUACUACGUCGACAUUCUCUCAAACCAGCCUGAACUAAGAUGGUGGGCCUUGUACUGACCUGAUGUGGCUGACUUCAGGAUCCUCUAUUUGGAACCAGGUGUUGGAGUGAAGAGCACCACUCCCAUUACUAGUGUCCAUUGGCAUGGACCUAAGCAUGAUCCAGCAGGACACCCUGCUGUGCACAAUGUAAUGACAGCAAGUGGGGUGGCUGCACAAGGGAAUGUUGAGUUAGAUUCAGGUGCAGAUACAAGGAAUUUGAUCAUCAUUGCAUAAAUACGUUGGUUACCACCUUUGCAUGGAAUCUAUGCUACCUGUUUCGUGCUGCUUCCUGGACCAGAAAGUUGUGAAGUUGUUUUUAUGGUCUAAUUGAAAUAAACUUGUUUUCUGACCCUUC